UACGUAGGGGGCAAGCGUUGUCCGGAAUCAUUGGGCGUAAAGAGCGUGUAGGCGGCCAGAUAAGUCCGCUGUGAAAUCUCGAGGCUCAACUUCGAGCUGUCGGUGGAAACUGUCUGGCUAGAGUCCGGAAGAGGAGAAUGGAAUUUCUGGUGUAGCGGUGAAAUGCGCAGAUAUCAGGAAGAACACCCGUGGCGAAGGCGGUUCUCUGGGACGGUACUGACGCUGAGACGCGAAAGCGUGGGGAGCGAACAGG
rnacentral:rRNA from 1 species